rnacentral:rRNA from 1 species
UACGUAGGGGGCAAGCGUUGUCCGGAAUCAUUGGGCGUAAAGAGCGUGUAGGCGGCCCGAUAAGUCCGCCGUGAAAGUCCAGGGCUCAACCCUGGAAUGCCGGUGGAAACUGUCGGGCUGGAGUCCGGAAGAGGCGAGUGGAAUUCCUGGUGUAGCGGUGAAAUGCGCAGAUAUCAGGAGGAACACCGAUGGCGAAGGCAGUGAUCUGGGCCGGUACUGACGCUGAGGAGCGAAAGCGUGGGUAGCAAACAGG